rnacentral:rRNA from 1 species
GGGAUUGCCCCAGUAACGGCGAGUGAAGCGGCAACAGCUCAAAUUUGAAAUCUGGCCCCCCGGGCCCGAGUUGUAAUUUGGAGAGGAUGCUUCUGGCGCGGCGCCUUCCGAGUGCCUUGGAACAGGCCGCCAUAGAGGGUGAGAGCCCCGUACGGUUGGACGCCAAGCCGGUUCGAAGCUCCUUCGACGAGUCGAGUAGUUUGGGAAUGCUGCUCAAAAUGGGAGGUAAAUUUCUUCUAAAGCUAAAUACCGGCCAGAGACCGAUAGCGCACAAGUAGAGUGAUCGAAAGAUGAAAAGCACUUUGAAAAGAGGGUUAAACAGUACGUGAAAUUGUUGAAAGGGAAGCGCCCGGGGCCAGACUUGCACCCCGCGGACCACCCGGCGUUCCGCGCCGGUGCACUCCGCGGGGCGCAGGCCAGCAUCGGUUCUUCCAGGGGGAGAAAGGCCGCGGGAACGUAGCUCCUCCGGGAGUGUUAUAGCCCGCGGCGCCAUGCCCCUGGGGGGACCGAGGACCGCGCUUCGGCAAGGAUGCUGGCGUAAUGGCCCCCGGCGACCCGUCUUGAAACACGGACCAAGGAGUCAAGCAUUGGGGCGAGUGUUUGGGUGCCAAACCCGCACGCGAAAUGAAAGUAAACGCAGGUGAGAGCUUCGGCGCAUCAUCGACCGAUCCUGAUGUCUUCGGAUGGAUUUGAGUAAGAGCCUUACCGCUUGGACCCGAAAGAUGGUGAACUAUGCCUGUAUAGGGUGAAGCCAGAGGAAACUCUGGUGGAGGCUCGCAGCGGUUCUGACGUGCAAAUCGAUCGUCAAAUAUGGGCAUGGGGGCGAAAGACUAAUCGAACCAUCUAGUAGCUGGUUACCG